rnacentral:rRNA from 1 species
GUGGGGAAUUUUGGACAAUGGGCGCAAGCCUGAUCCAGCCAUUCCGCGUGCAGGAUGAAGGCCUUCGGGUUGUAAACUGCUUUUGUACGGAACGAAAAGCCUCUGGUUAAUACCCGGGGGUCAUGACGGUACCGUAAGAAUAAGCACCGGCUAACUACGUGCCAGCAGCCGCGGUAAUACGUAGGGUGCGAGCGUUAAUCGGAAUUACUGGGCGUAAAGCGUGCGCAAGCGGGGAUGUAAGACAGUUGUGAAAUCCCCGGGCUCAACCUGGGAACUGCAUCUGUGACUGCAUUGCUGGAGUGCGGCAGAGGGGGAUGGAAUUCCGCGUGUAGCAGUGAAAUGCGUAGAUAUGCGGAGGAACACCGAUGGCGAAGGCAAUCCCCUGGGCCUGCACUGACGCUCAUGCACGAAAGCGUGGGGAGCAAACAGGAUUAGAAACCCGGGUAGUCC